rnacentral:lncRNA from 1 species
CUCACACUAACCCACCCUUCCUCCACUCAGGGAAGUUUAUUCUGUCCAUACUGGGCCAUGCUCCUGUACCGGUCCAGUGCACCAUGUGGGGUACAACACAGCCGAUACACCUGGAGAUGCUGCCAGCUGCUUUCAAGACCCUAUGACGACAAUUAAGCAAUGGCAUGAAAAAGGAAGGUGAAGGGAAAAAAACUCAAGCAAGAGUGUGAGAAGGAAUGGACGCUGGUGGAUGAAUACAGACCCGUUAUCACAUAGCAAAGCACUGUGUAUGUCCUACUCCCCACUCUGGAACUGUAAGUGUGCCUGGCACUUUCCCUUAACUUUUCUG